rnacentral:rRNA from 1 species
CCUACGGGUGGCUGCAGUCGGGAAUUUUGGGCAAUGGGGGCAACCCUGACCCAGCAACGCCGCGUGAGCGAUGAAGGCCUUCGGGUCGUAAAGCUCUGUCGGGAGGGAAGAAGGCUCUCGGGGUGAAUAAUCCCGGGGGAUUGACGGUACCUCCAAAGGAAGCGCCGGCUAACUCCGUGCCAGCAGCCGCGGUAAUACGGGGCGCGCAAGCGGUGUUCGGGGUCUCUGAGCGUAAAGCGCGAGGCGCGGGGCCUAACCCCGGAACUGCACUCGAAACUGCCGCGCUAGAGUCUCGGAGAGGGUGGUGGAAUUCCCGGUGUAGUGGUGAAAUACGUAGAUAUCGGGAGGAACACCAGCGGCGAAGGCGGCCACCUGGACGAUGACUGACGCUGAGACGCGAAAGCGUGGGGAGCAAACAGGAUUAGAUACCCGGGUAGUC